rnacentral:rRNA from 1 species
CUUAACAUUGCGGGGAGAAGAGUUCUCGUCAGAUGCAUUCUCUCUGCUCUUCCAACUUUUGCGAUGACUGCUCUGAAGAUACCGAAGAAGAUUCUGAAGGAAAUGGACAAAUCGUGAAGACGAUUCCUUUGGGCACAAGACGACGAGCUCUCUGGUGGAAAGUGCAAAGUAUCCUGGGACACGGUGUGUUGCCCUCUAGAUCGUGGAGGCCUCGGUCUCCUGGAUCUCCUCAAAUUCAAUGGUGUGCUGAGAAUGCGCUGGCAAUGGCUUGCAUGGGCAAGGCCUGAGAAGCCUUGGGUUGCCGUGUCCACAACUCCUGACGAUCAUGAAAGGGCUCUGUUUGCCAAUGCGACAUCAAUCCGUGUUGGCAAUGGAAAAAGCACCAACUUCUGGAAGGACACCUGGAUCGGAAAUGAGCCGUUGUCUACAACUUUCCCUGCUCUGUUCAGUCAUGCGAGGCGCAAGAACAGAUCGGUUGGGGAGGCACUUUCAAAUGAUUAG